rnacentral:rRNA from 1 species
UACGUAGGGGGCUAGCGUUGUCCGGAAUCAUUGGGCGUAAAGAGCGUGUAGGCGGCCAGAUAGGUCUGCUGUGAAAACUCGAGGCUCAACCUCGAGAUGUCGGCGGAAACCAUUUGGCUAGAGUCCGGAAGAGGAAAGUGGAAUUCCUGGUGUAGCGGUGAAAUGCGCAGAUAUCAGGAAGAACACCCGUGGCGAAGGCGGCUUUCUGGGACGGUACUGACGCUGAGACGCGAAAGUGUGGGGAGCGAACAGG